rnacentral:rRNA from 1 species
UACGUAGGGGGCUAGCGUUGUCCGGAAUCAUUGGGCGUAAAGCGCCGUGUAGGCGGUCCGGUAAGUCCGCUGUGAAAGUCGGGGGCUCAACCUCGGAUGCCGGUGGAUACUGUCGGGCUUGAGUACGGAAGAGGCGAGUGGAAUUCCUGGUGUAGCGGUGGAAAUGCGCAGAUAUCAGGAGGAACACCAAUUGCGAAGGCAG